AAACGACUCUCGGCAACGGAUAUCUCGGCUCUCGCAUCGAUGAAGAACGCAGCAAAAUGCGAUACUUGGUGUGAAUUGCAGAAUCCCGUGAACCAUCGAGUUUUUGAACGCAAGUUGCGCCCGAGGCCAUCGUGCCGAGGGCACGUCUGCCUGGGCGUCACGC
rnacentral:rRNA from 1 species